rnacentral:rRNA from 1 species
GACGAACGCUGGCGGCGUGCUUAACACAUGCAAGUCGAACGAAGAGCGAUGGAAGCUUGCUUCUAUCAAUCUUAGUGGCGAACGGGUGAGUAACGCGUAAUCAACCUGCCCUUCAGAGGGGGACAACAGUUGGAAACGACUGCUAAUACCGCAUACGAUCUGACCUCGGCAUCGAGGAUAGAUGAAAGGUGGCCUCUACAUGUAAGCUAUCACUGAAGGAGGGGAUUGCGUCUGAUUAGCUAGUUGGAGGGGUAACGGCCCACCAAGGCGAAGAUCAGUAGCCGGUCUUAGAGGAUGAACGGCCACAAUGGGACUGAGACACGGCCCAGACUCCUACGGGAGGCAGCAGUGGGGAAUCUUCCGCAAUGGACGAAAGGCUGACGGAGCAACGCCGCGUGGGUGAUGACGGCCUUCGGGUUGUAAAGCUCUGUUAAUCGGGACGAAAGGCCUUUUUGCGAAUAGUGAGAAGGAUUGACGGUACCGGAAGAGAAAGCCACGGCUAACUACGUG